GGGCGGCGUGGGCAUGGGCAUGUACAACACGGACGAGUCCAUCUCGGGCUUCGCGCACAGCUGCUUCCAGUACGCCAUCCAGAAGAGAUGGCCGCUCUACAUGAGCACCAAGAACACCAUCCUCAAGGCCUACGACGGGCGCUUCAAGGACAUCUUCCAGGAGAUCUUCGACAAGUAC